ACCAUUGCUGAAGAGUUAAAGACAAGGGGGAAGGGAGAGUGCUCUACUACUCUAGAGGUGUAUUAGUCUGAAAUGUAGAUUAUGAUAUGCUGAAAGGGGGAAGCUCUCUAAAAAGCACGAAGACCAUUUAUCAUGGCUGAACUCUAACAGAUGAUUCACACAGGCAAAAUGU